rnacentral:tRNA from 1 species
GGAGCGGUAGUUCAGUUGGUUAGAAUACCUACUCUGUCACGCCGGGGGUCGCGGGUUCGAGUCCCGUCCGCUCCGCCA